UUAGUAAAAGCAGCUACCAAAUCUUUAGUAGCAAAAACAUUGAUAAAAUAUACACAUUUUUUGUAAAUAUUACUAAAAUUGCGUAAAAAAGAUGUCAGACGCAAUGAAUGUUCCUACCAGGAAUUCGUAUAUUUUACUUCAUACCAUUAGUAAGUUUGUUUUUAUUGUCAUACCUAACAACUGUGAUGUGCGCACUUUGUCUUUUGUCUUUUGGAGACGAAGCGAUUUGGAGUUGGCCUUAAAAUUAUAUGCAGUAUAUGCAUUCAUCAUAAACAAAUCGGAGAUAAGUAUUCGUUUUUUUUACAUCAUUACAUCAGUCACCUCGGUCGGGAAACUAUUUUCAUAUUCCCGCCAAGGAUAAACAUCAGUUAUAUUUUAUACAUUACAACACUAUUGACCUUUUUCCUUGUCUUUACAGCUGGCAUGAUCCCAGACUCGUAAUACUUGUUUACCAAAAACCAUCCAAGCUAUGGGAUUGAAGGUAACGGCGAGUUUGUCGCUAAGAUUGGAAUCUUUCUUCAACACAUCAUCGACCGUAAAAAACUUAAGGGACACGAGAGAACAAAAUACGGAUGAAACGUGCUAAUUCUACCGUCACUCUGCUAAUCAGCUGCUAAUCAGCUAAUGCAAAUCAGAGCGAUGCAGCAGGAAGAGGAACGGGAACUUGCUUUGGAAAUGCUCAUCAAAUUGAGGUGGUUGAGGCUGCGAUUAAAAUUUGCCUCUUAUACGCAGUUUAUAGAAUGAUUCCAACG